GACGAACGCUGGCGGCGUGCUUAACACAUGCAAGUCGAACGGAAAGGCCCUGCUUGCAGGGUACUCGAGUGGCGAACGGGUGAGUAACACGUGGGUGAUCUGCCCUGCACUUCGGGAUAAGCCUGGGAAACUGGGUCUAAUACCGGAUAGGAGCCAUUUUUAGUGUGGUGGUUGGAAAGUUUUUUCGGUGUAGGAUGAGCUCGCGGCCUAUCAGCUUGGUUGUUGGGUAAUGGCCUACCAAGGCGGCGACGGGUAGCCGGCCUGGGAGGGUGGACGGCCACAGUGGGACUGAGAUACGGCCCAGACUCCUACGGGAGGCAGCAGGGGGGAAUAUUGCACAAUGGGGGCAAGCCUGAUGCAGCGACGCCGCGUGGGGGAUGACGGCCUUCGGGUUGGAAAAUCGUUUCGCUAGGGACGAAGCUGUUUGUGACGGUACCUAGAGAAGAAGCACCGGCUAACUACGUG
rnacentral:rRNA from 1 species